UAUUGGUCAAUGGGCGCAAGCCUGAACCAGCCAAGUCGCGUGAGGGAUGACGGUCCUAUGGAUUGUAAACCUCUUUUGUCGGGGAGCAACGCGCGGUACGAGUACCGCGAAGGAGAGUACCCGAAGAAAAAGCAUCGGCUAACUCCGUGCCAGCAGCCGCGGUAAUACGGAGGCUGCGAGCGUUAUCCGGAUUUAUUGGGCUUAAAGGGUGCGUAGGCGGAUUUGUAAGUCAGCGGUAAAAAUGCGGUGCUCAACGCCGUAUCGCCGUUGAAACUGCAGGUCUUGAGUGAGCGAGAAGUAUGCGGAAUGCGUGGUGUAGCGGUGAAAUGCAUAGAUAUCACGCAGAACUCCGAUUGCGAAGGCAGCAUACCGGCGCUCAACUGACGCUGAGGCACGAAAGCGUGGGGAUCGAACAGGA
rnacentral:rRNA from 1 species